rnacentral:miRNA from 1 species
UGUCAUGGAGUUGCUCUCUUUAA